GAGAAAUACGUUGAACAGUUUUGCGGCUAAGCAAAAUUGUGAACUUGCCUGGAAGAAAAUACCUUGAAGAUUUUCCAUGGAAAGAGGAAAAGUGCAUGCACUGAAGGAUGCCACAAGAGUAUUUAUGCAGCUGUGACUGAAAUACAGCUUAAAAGCCAUGGAAUAGUGUAAGUACCCACUAGGAUGUGCUGUUGGCCUAAAAUUGAAGCCCCGGUAUUUAAGAAACUGAAAUUUCAAAAUUCUUAGGUGUGAUGUAAACAUAAUCCCCAUACUAUUCUCAUUUGAAGAUUUCAGAGAAGACGUACAAUUUAUAGGACUUUUUAAGAAAAAGAAUGUGGUGGUUGAAUGAUAGGCAAAUUUUAUUAUCAUGCAACUAUCCUUAGCAGGCAUACUUGAAGUGAGAGUUUCCUGAAGGAGCGUCACAGCCAUGACCAUAUUCA
rnacentral:lncRNA from 1 species